CACGUAGGGGGCAAGCGUUGUCCGGAUUUAUUGGGCGUAAAGAGCGUGUAGGCGGCCAGGUAGGUCUGCUGUGAAAACUCGAGGCUCAACCUCGAGACGCCGGCGGAAACCAUCUGGCUAGAGUCCGGAAGAGGAGAGUGGAAUUCCUGGUGUAGCGGUGAAAUGCGCAGAUAUCAGGAAGAACACCCGUGGCGAAGGCGGCUCUCUGGGACGGUACUGACGCUGAGACGCGAAAGCGUGGGGAGCGAACAGG
rnacentral:rRNA from 1 species